rnacentral:rRNA from 1 species
CGGGGGAUUUUGCACAAUGGGCGCAAGCCUGAUGCAGCGACGCCGCGUGAGGGAUGAAGGCCUUCGGGUUGUAAACCUCUUUCGCUGGGUUGAAAGGCCAUGCUUUGGGUGUGGUUGAUUUGAACUGGUAAAGAAGUACCGGCUAACUACGUGCCAGCAGCCGCGGUAAUACGUAGGGUACUAGCGUUGUCCGGAUUUAUUGGGCGUAAAGGGCUUGUAGGUGGUUUGUCGCGUCUGUCGUGAAAUCCUGUGGCUUAACCAUGGGCUUGCGGUGGGUACGGGCAGGCUUGAGUGCGGUAGGGGAGACUGGAAUUCCUGGUGUGGCGGUGGAAUGCGCAGAUAUCAGGAGGAACACCGGUGGCGAAGGCGGGUCUCUGGGCCGUUACUGACACUGAGGAGCGAAAGCGUGGGGAGCGAACAGG